rnacentral:rRNA from 1 species
GACGGAGGAGGCAAGCGUUAUCCGGAAUUAUUGGGCGUAAAGCGUCCGCAGGUGGCGGGUCAAGUCUGCUGUCAAAGGACGGUGCUUAACUCCAUGCAGGCAGUGGAAACUGAAUGACUAGAGGUCGGUAGGGGUAGCGGGAAGUCCCAGUGUAGCGGUGAAAUGCGUAGAUAUUGGGAAGAACACCGGCGGCGAAAGCGCGCUACUGGGCCGAGACUGACACUGAGGGACGAAAGCUAGGGGAGCGAAAGGG